rnacentral:misc_RNA from 1 species
UCCGUGUUCACCACGGCAGUCUCCUUAGAGAGCCCAACUGAAUGCUGGCAACUAAGGACAGGGGUUGCGCUCGUUGCGGGACUUAACCCAACAUGUCACCACACGAGCUGACGACAGCCAUGCAGCACCUGUCUCUCGGUCGUAUUGCUACGAAAACGGUAUUUCUACCGCGGUCCGAGGAUGUCAAGCCUAGGUAAGGUUUUUCGCGUUGCUUCGAAUUAAACCACAUGAUCCACCGCUUGUGCGGGCCCCCGUCAAUUCCUUUGAGUUUCAGUCUUGUGACCGUACUCCCCAGGCGGAGUGCUUAAUGUGUUGACUUCGGCACAGCAGGGGUCGAUACCCGCUACACCAAGCACUCAUCGUUUACGGCGUGGACUAC